ACCAGCUCUUCAAGUGGUCGGGAUAAUUAUUGGGCUUAAAGUGUCCGUAGCUGGUAGGGUAAGUUCCUGGUAAAAUUGGGCAGCUUAACUGUCCUUAUGCUAGGAAUACUACUCUCCUAGAGGGCGGGAGAAGUCUGAGGUACUACAGGGGUAGGGGUGAAAUCUUAUAAUCCUUGUAGGACCACCAGUGGCGAAAGCGUCAGACCGGAACGCGCCUGACAGUGAGAGACGAAAGCCAGGGGAGCGAACCGGAUUAGAUACCCGGGUAGUCCUGGCCGUAAACGAUGCGCACUAGGUGAUGGUGCGGCUAUGAGCCGCAUCAGUGUCGUAGGGAAACCGUUAAGUGUGCCGCCUGGGAAGUACGGUCGCAAGGCUUAAACUUAAAGGAAUUGGCGGGGAGCACCACAAGGGGUGAAGCCUGCGGUUC
rnacentral:rRNA from 1 species